AGCUCCAAUAGCGUAUAUUUUAGUUGUUGCAGUUAAAAGCUCGUAGUUGAAUUUCUGGUGGGGGAAUGCGGUCUGACCCUUAGGGUUAGCACUUGCACUCUCCGGCCAUCCUUGGGUGGAGCCAUUCUGGCAUUAAGUUGUCGGGGUGGGGAUGCCCAUCGUUUACUGUGAAAAAAUUGAGUGUUCAAAGCAGACUUAUGUCGUUGAAUAUAUUAGCAUGGAAUAAUAAGAUAGGACAGCAGUGCUAUUUUGUUGGUUUGCGCACCGUUGUAAUGAUGAAUAGGGACAGUUGUGGGUAUUCGUAUUCACUUGUAAGAGGUGAAAUUCUUAGAUUAAGGGAAGACGAACUACUGCGAAAGCAUUUACCAAGGAUGUUUUCA
rnacentral:rRNA from 1 species